AAACAUGCAAGUCGAGCGGACCGGACGACAGCUUGCUAUUGUUCGGUUGAGGCGGACGGGUGAGUAACACGUGGGCAACCUACCCGUAAGACCGGGAUAACUCCGGGAAACCGGAGCUAAAACCGGAAAACACCAAGACCGCAUGGUCUUCGGUUGGAAGGCGGCUUCGGGUGUCACUUACGGAUGGGCCCGCGGCGCAUUAGCUAGUUGGUGAGGUAACGGCUCACCAAGGUGACGAUGCGUAGCCGGCCUGAGAGGGUGACCGGCCACACUGGGACUGAGACACGGCCCAGACUCCUACGGGAGGCAGCAGUAGGGAAUCUUCCGCAAUGGACGAAAGUCUGACGGAGCGACGGCGCG
rnacentral:rRNA from 1 species